GCUAGGCAUGCUGGCUCAUGCCUGUAAUCCCAGCAUUUUGGGAGGCUGAGGCUGGUGGAUCACUUGAGCCCAGGAAUUCGGGGCCAGCUUGGGCAACAGAAUGAGACUCUGUCUCUACAAAAAAUAAAACAUUAGCAUGUGCCUUUAGUCCCAGCUACUCCAGAAGCUGAGGUGGGAAGAUUCUUAAGCCUAGGAGGUUGAGGCUGCAGUGUGCUGUGAUCACCCUACUGCAUUCUAGCCUGGGCAACAGAGUGAGACCCUGCCUCA
rnacentral:sRNA from 1 species